rnacentral:rRNA from 1 species
GAACGCUGGCGGCGUGGCUAAGGCAUGCAAGUCGAACGCGAAAGUGACCCUUCGGGGAAGCGAGUAGAGUGGCGAAAGGGCGAGGAACACAUGGGAACGUACCUUUGGCUCGGGGAUAGCUGUGGGAAACCGCAGGUAAUACCCGACAUCGCGGAAACGUGAAAGCCGGGGAUCGAAAGACCUGGCGGCCAGAGAGCGGCCCAUGUCCUAUCAGCUUGUUGGUGAGGUAACGGCUCACCAAGGCGACGACGGGUACCGGGGCUGAGAGGUUGACCCGGCGCAUCGGGACUGAGACACUGCCCGGACUCCUACGGGAGGCUGCAGCACCGAAUAUUCCACAAUGGGCGAAAGCCUGAUGGAGCGACGCCGCGUGUGGGAGUAAGCCCUUCGGGGUGUAAACCACUGUCAGGGAUCACCAAGCGACCGGGGCGAACAGUCCCGGAAGUUGAGGAGUCCCAGAGGAAGUCACGGCUAACUUCGUGCCAGCAGCCGCGGUAAGACGAAGGUGGCGAGCGUUGUUCGGAAUUACUGGGCUUAAAGAGCACGUAGGUGGGCUUGCAAGCCG